rnacentral:rRNA from 1 species
GACAGAGGGUGCAAACGUUGUUCGGAAUUACUGGGCGUAAAGCUCGUGUAGGCGGCUUUGCAAGUCGGGCGUGAAAUCCCACGGCUCAACCGUGGAAGUGCACUCGAAACUGCAGAGCUAGAGUCCUGGAGAGGAAGGUGGAAUGCUUGGUGUAGAGGUGAAAUUCGUAGAUAUCAAGCGGAACACCGGUGGCGAAGGCGGCCUUCUGGACAGUGACUGACGCUGAGACGCGAAAGCGUGGGGAGCAAACAGG